rnacentral:rRNA from 1 species
UAGUCCACGCCCUAAACGAUGAGAACUAGACGUUGGGUUCAACUUUAGAACCUAGUGUCAAAGCUAACGCGAUAAGUUCUCCGCCUGGGGAGUACGACCGCAAGGUUGAAACUCAAAGGAAUUGACGGGGGCCCGCACAAGCGGUGGAGCAUGUGGCUUAAUUCGAAGCAACGCGCAGAACCUUACCAACCCUUGACAUCCUAGGACCGGCCCAGAGAUGGGUCUUUCACUUCGGUGACCUAGUGACAGGUGCUGCACGGCUGUCGUCAGCUCGUGUCGUGAGAUGUUCGGUUAAGUCCGGCAACGAGCGCAACCCACAUCCUUAGUUGCCAGCAGUUCGGCUGGGCACUCUAGGGAAACUGCCCGUGAUAAGCGGGAGGAAGGUGUGGAUGACGUCAAGUCCUCAUGGCCCUUACGGGUUGGGCUACACACGUGCUACAAUGGCAGUGACAAUGGGUUAAUCCCAAAAACUGUCUCAGUUCGGAUUGGGGUCUGCAACUCGACCCCAUGAAGUCGGAAUCG